GUGCUUGCUUUGGCAGCAUAUAUACUAAAAUGUAACAAUAUAGAGAAGAUUAGCAUGGUCUCUGCACCAGAAUGCUGCAGAAAUUCAUGAAGCGUUCCAUAUUUUU